rnacentral:misc_RNA from 1 species
AAGUCGUAACAAGGUUUUCGUAGGUGAACCUGCGGAAGGAUCAUUAAAUUAAUAUUUUUUAAUCUAAUAAAAAAACUUUUUUUGAUUUGUUUUGUUUAUCACUGGAAACAACUUUUUUUUUUUCUCUCGCAACACUUGUUGAGGGGGGGAAUAUUAAGGGGGUUUUAGAGGUUUUAACAAACAAUUCCCAAUCUUUUUAUUUUUUUUUUUUUUUUUUUGGGGGCCACCUUUUUAACCAUUUAUUUAAAACAUUUAGUGCUUAUAAACACAUUCUAAAUUUAAUUUUUUAGUCUUAACUAUAAAAUAACUUUCAACAACGGAUCUCUAGGCUCUU